AUUGAACGCUGGCGGCAGGCCUAACACAUGCAAGUCGAACGAGUGGCGGACGGGUGAGUAAUGUCUGGGAAACUGCCUGAUGGAGGGGGAUAACUACUGGAAACGGUAGCUAAUACCGCAUACCAUCAGAUGUGCCCAGAUGGGAUUAGCUAGUUGGUGGGGUAACGGCUCACCAAGGCGACGAUCCCUAGCUGGUCUGAGAGGAUGACCGGCAACACGGGAACUAGGAAACGGUCCAGACUCUUAGGGGAGGCAGCAGGGGGGAAUAUUGCACAAGGGGGGCAAGCCUGAUGCAGCCAUGCCGCGUGUAUGAAGAAGGCCUUCGGGUUGUAAAGUACUUUCAGCGGGGAGGCGUUACCCGCAGAAGAAGCACCGGCUAACUCCGUGCCAGCCGCCGCGGUAUUC
rnacentral:rRNA from 1 species